GUGAGACCCAAAGCUUUUCCGAUCGGUAGUGCGCGGUCUUAUUGUCUUUCUUAAUUUUAGUCUUUUUUUUUUUUUUACACGACCGUAUGAGGAGAUUUGUUUCCAGGUGACAUCCUCCUCCUUCCAGGUGAGCUGGAAGGAGGAGCCACACACUCUUGUGGAUCUAGGCGCACGUCAUGACAGGCCGGAGUGGAAGAAGCAGUAAACUUCUUGGUUGUAAACUUGGAGACGGAAGAACAUGGAGCACGCCACGAUAAACUGGAACCCGAGAGGAUAGAAAACAGGAGCUGAGCGGAAAGAUGGCACAGCAGGAGGAGCCUCUGUAUGAUUUCCCGGAGCCCACCCAGCCAUCAAAGCGUAAACUYCUGGGGGUUCAAAGAGGAAGGGGCUCCCUGAGAAGCAUCAGCGUGUUGGACCGUCUCCUGCUUACAGUUCCUGUCUGGCUGCAGCUCUCCAUCAACCCGGCAAACGCGCUGCACAUUCUGCAGAGGGAACCUCCUGGGACGUUCCUGGUAAGAAAGUCCCGCACAUCCCAAAAGAACGUGCUCUGUGUUCGUUUGGCAGAUGACAGUGUGCCGUCGUUUGUUCAGGAGUUUGGCAUCAG